UACGUAGGGGGCGAGCGUUGUCCGGAUUCAUUGGGCGUAAAGCGCGGGCAGGCGGCCCGCUCAGUCGGCCGUGAAAGCGCCGGGCUCAACUCGGCGAGGUCGGGCGAUACUGGCGGGCUCGAGGCUGGUAGAGGGCGGUGGAAUUCCGGGUGUAGUGGUGGAAUGCGUAGAGCUCCGGAGGAACACCAGUGGCGAAGGCGGCCGCCUGGGCCAGUCCUGACGCUGAGGCACGAAAGCGUGGGGAGCAAACAGG
rnacentral:rRNA from 1 species